GUUUAGAACGCUCGUAGUCGGAUUUCGGGGCGGGCCGACCGGUCUGCCGAUGGGUACGCACUGGUCGGCGCGUCCUUCCUUCCGGAGACCGUGCCUACUCUUAACUGAGCGGGGGCGGGAGACGGAACGUUUACUUUGAAAAAAUCAGAGUGUUUCAAGCAGGCAGCUCGCUCUUGCAUGGAUUAGCAUGGGAUAAUGAAAUAGGACUUUGGUGCUAUUUUGUUGGUUUCGAACACCGAAGUAAUGAUGAGAAGGGACAGUCAGGGGCACUCGUAUUCCGCCGAGAGAGGUGAAAUUCUCAGACCAGCGGAAGACGAGCCACUGCGAAAGCAUUUGCCAGGGAUGUUUUCACUGAUCAAGAACGAAAGUUAGGGGAUCGAAGACGAUCAGAUACCGUCGUAGUCUUAACCAUAAACCAUACCGACUAGGGAUUGGAGGAUGUUCACUGAUUGACUCCUUCAGCACCUUACGGGAAACUAAAGUCUUUGGGUUCCGGGGGGAGUAUGGUCGCAAGGCUGAAACUUAAAGGAAUUGACGGAAGGGCACCACCAGGUGUGGAGCCCGCGGCUUAAUUUGACUCAACACGGGGAAACUUACCAGGUCCAGACAUUGUGAGGAUUGACAGAUUGAGAGCUCUUUCUUGAUUUGAUGGGUGGUGGUGCAUGGCCGUUCUUAGUUGGUGGAGUGAUUUGUCUGGUUAAUUCCGUU
rnacentral:rRNA from 1 species